GCCAGGGCGACAUUUGGAGCAAGAAAUAAAGCUCAUAAUGAUUCAGCUUCUUGUUGUAUUGGCAUUGGUGCUUCUGGUCCAAAGUGCUUAUACCACGAACAGCAAAAAAGACCUCACUUUUUCCGCAGGUAGAUGCACUUACAAAGGCAUGACCAUGGACAGGACCAGCGUGGGUUUCUCGUCGGGUUGCACAAAAUAUCUUUGCAACCCGGAUAGCAGGACGCUUACAGUCCUUGGGU